rnacentral:rRNA from 1 species
GAUGAACGCUGGCGGCGUGCCUAAUACAUGCAAGUCGAGCGAACGGACGAGAAGCUUGCUUCUCUGAUGUUAGCGGCGGACGGGUGAGUAACACGUGGAUAACCUACCUAUAAGACUGGGAUAACUUCGGGAAACCGGAGCUAAUACCGGAUGAUAUUUUGAACCGCAUGGUUCAAAAGUGAAAGACGGUCUUGCUGUCACUUAUAGAUGGAUCCGCGCCGCAUUAGCUAGUUGGUAAGGUAACGGCUUACCAAGGCAACGAUGCAUAGCCGACCUGAGAGGGUGAUCGGCCACACUGGAACUGAGACACGGUCCAGACUCCUACGGGAGGCAGCAGUAGGGAAUCUUCCGCAAUGGGCGAAAGCCUGACGGAGCAACGCCGCGUGAGUGAUGAAGGUCUUCGGAUCGUAAAACUCUGUUAUUAGGGAAGAACAUAUGUGUAAGUAACUAUGCACAUCUUGACGGUACCUAAUCAGAAAGCCACGGCUAACUACGUG